UUCCAUUUGCAGCACGAUGGCGCAGGGGCAGGGCUCCCUCACGCGCCAUCCACUUGAUCUUUAAAUCUAAAAUCCCUCUCACGUUGCAGUCUGACCGUCAGAGCCUUGCAUCCCUAGUCCCCUGUCCAUUACCAUUGUGCUCUUGGACCUGCCGCCCACCUGGACUGGUCUCUGCAACAGGUCACCCUCCCUCAGCAGGACACCUUGGCUCUGAGUCAGUGAGUGUGCACUGUCUGGUUUCUUGCACUUGGGAGAUGGGGU
rnacentral:lncRNA from 1 species